AUGGCCGUGAGCUCGAAGCAGGCCCAUGCCUGCGUAGUGCUCGUGGUGCUCUGCAUUGCCGCGCGGACGGCGGCGGCCUGGGGCAGAAUCGACGACCGCCUGGAGGUGAACUGGGGCCGUGGCAGCCACGGGACGGUCUCGGCCGACGGCCAGGUCAUCUCGCUGUCGCUCGACCGCAACUCCGGCUCCGGCUUCCGGUCCAGGGACACGUACCUCUACGCGCGCAUCGACCUGCAGAUCAAGCUCGCCCCCGGCAACUCCGCCGGCACAGUCACCACGUGCUACUUCCUGUCGGAGGGAUCAUGGGCGAACCAUGACGAGAUCGACCUGGAGUUCCUGGGCAACUCCACCGGCGAGCCGUACACGCUCCACACCAACGUCUACAUCAACGGCACCGGCAGCAAGGAGCAGCAGUUCCACCUCUGGUUCGACCCCACCGCCGACUUCCACACCUACUCCAUCGUCUGGACUCCCCUGCACCUCCUUGUGCUGGUGGACGGCACGCCGAUCCGGGAGCUGAAGAACCACGCGGACAGGGGCGUGGCGUACCCGUCGUGGCAGCGGAUGCGGCUGUACGGGAGCCUGUGGAACGCCGAGGACUGGGCCACGCAGGGCGGCCGCGUCAAGACGGACUGGUCGCUGGCGCCCUUCGUCGCGCAGUACCGCAACUUCACCGCCACCACCUCGUCGCCGGGCGCCGGCGGAGGGUACUACGACCAGGAGAUGGACGCGACGGCGCAGCAGGCCAUGAAGUGGGCGCGGGACAAGUACAUGGUGUACAACUACUGCGCGGACAGCGCGAGGUUCCCAUACGGCUCGCCGCCCGAGUGCUACAUGCCGUAG
rnacentral:rRNA from 1 species